GACGAACGCUGGCGGCGUGCUUAACACAUGCAAGUCGAACGGUGAACGAGGGAGCUUGCUCCCUCCGGAUCAGUGGCGAACGGGUGAGUAACACGUGAGCAAUCUGCCCCGAACUCUGGGAUAAGCGUUGGAAACGACGUCUAAUACCGGUUACGACGCGGGAGGGCAUCCUCUCCGCGUGGAAAGAACUUCGGUUCGGGAUGAGCUCGCGGCCUAUCAGCUUGUUGGUGAGGUAACGGCUCACCAAGGCGACGACGGGUAGCCGGCCUGAGAGGGUGACCGGCCACACUGGGACUGAGACACGGCCCAGACUCCUACGGGAGGCAGCAGUGGGGAAUAUUGCACAAUGGGCGCAAGCCUGAUGCAGCAACGCCGCGUGAGGGACGACGGCCUUCGGGUUGUAAACCUCUUUUAGCAGGGAAGAAGCGAAAGUGACGGUACCUGCAGAAAAAGCACCGGCUAACUACGUG
rnacentral:rRNA from 1 species